rnacentral:misc_RNA from 1 species
AACUUUUAACAAUGGAUCUCUUGGCUCUCGCAUCGACGAAGAACGCAGCGAAAUGCGAUACGUAAUGUGAAUUGCAGAAUUCAGUGAAUCAUCGAAUCUUUGAACGCACCUUGCGCCCCUUGGCAUUCCGAGGGGCACACCCGUUUGAGUGUCGUGAAAUUCUCAAACCUUCUUGGUUUCUUGAUCAAGAUGGCUUUGGACUUUGGAGUCAUUUUGCUGGCUUUGCGAAAAGCCAGCUCCUCUUAAAUACAUUAGUGGGAUCCCCUUUGCCGAUCCCCAGGCGUGAUAAGAUAUUUCUACGUCUUGGGAUUUGCUCUGUUCCUUGGGAACCCGCUUCCAACCGUCUCAUGGGAGACAUCGUUCGAGUUUGCUCGACCCACGAACCUUGACCUCAAAUCGGGUGAGACUACCCGCUGAACUUAAGCAUAUCAAUAAGCGGAGGCU